AAGCAAUGAAUGUCUAUCGGGACGUUGCGGCGGUUGUCACGGGCUCGAGGGGAGUACUGGGUCGUGACACAUUUUUUGCAGAAAACUAAAAAGACUGAAAGGACAUUAUGCUAUCAAUCAAGGAAUGUUUUAUCAUCAUCAAGAAGGGAGAGAUUAUUGGCUCCAUUAGUUUUUGAUGAUAAUAAAACAUUCCCAUUCAUUUGUGUCUAAUAUCUGUACUUAAGUGUGCAG
rnacentral:lncRNA from 1 species